AUUAACUCUCCUACCAAAAUCUUCUUAAUACACAUGAUUAUAUCAUUUAUACGAAAUCAUUACACAAUUCCAUAUAUAUAUCAAUCUUCGUGUGAAAAGGAAAGUUAAUAUUCUUCACAAAUGUUGCUUUUUGAAAUAAUGUAAUCGAUUUCUUUGCUUAUCCUAUCUCCUUCUUGCCGAAGCCAACAUCUGCUCUCUACCAUCUUCUCACGACCAUCCUCCAGAGACUCUUGAAUUGGUUGUAGAAUCGCUGCACAAGUCAGGAAUGGAUAACACACCUUCCGAAGAAGUCAUAGCACUUGCAGUGACAUCUCACAUGCAACACAUUACUCAAAGAAUCCACCAACUUCAGGAAGAGAUUUCAGUGCGCCCUAUCACGGUAUGUAUAAGAAGUGUUUGGGACAUCAGAAAACACCAAACAUAUAAUACUCAAAUUUGCAUCGGCUUCAUGUGCUACGACCACCACGUAAGCCUUUUAUUAAAACUUUAACAUAUACAUAUAUAUGUAUUUUUCAAUCCAACAUAUUUGAUUUAAACUACUCACUAUUUACUUAAUUGGUUCGGCGCAACAAAAUUUGUUCACAUUCAUGGACAACUAUUUGAAGGUCGGCUCACCGGAAACAUUUAGCCAAAUGACCCAAAAAAUUUAACUGAGGGAGAUAUAUAUGAAUUUUCAGGAUUUUCUGUCAUACAUAAUUCACAACAUCGAAACCUCACCCAACUGCCGUAUUACAUUCAGAUCGACCAAAAGACAAUAACAUCGAAAUUUACAGACAUCGGGCCAAUAUUUCCAGUUCACAAUUUCUCUCCUCAGAAUUACAAAAAUCUAUUGUGCUUAGCCACUACACCCACCCACUUACUAGAUGUCGUCGGGCAGAUACUCUUAAUACAAAAAAGAAAUCCGUACCACCCAUAAAUCAAUACUGAUACCACGAUUGGUCUACUGCUGAACAUGUAAGUCUAACACAAUAGGUAAAAACGAAAUCAUAAUUCUCUUCAUACAUACACCUCUAUCUCAGGUCGAUAAUGGUUAAACUCAUACUGUGCGACAAGUAAGCAGCAGAUUUUAGCAUCCUACAAAGCAAGAAAAAAAAGAAAUUUAAAGUUGUCAUCAUCACAAGCAUAAUUCAUAAACUUUUCCAAGGUAAAUAAUUUUUUUAAACACAUCAAAAAAUAAUACAGAUCUAAAUUUUUUUUUCUCAACAGAACAAUAAUAUCCAAUAUUUUCCAGGCAAACUACUACUCAGUUCAUAACCAGCAACAAAUUUCUACUUCAACAAAUCAAUUGAUUACAUAAAGCAUUUCAAAGAGCGAAUAAGAGAUAAUGCAAAAGCAUGCAGCAAAGAAUGACUUUAAUUCAUGCAUCAUUCGGAUUAUUAUUCUCUUUCCCACACA